ACUCAAAUGAAUUGACGGGGAGGCGCACAAGCAGUGGAGCAUGUGGUUUAAUUCGAGACAAAGCGAAAAACCUCACCAGGGUUUGACAUGGAUCUGCAAGCGCACGGAAACGUGUGAUCUUCGAGAGUGAUCCACAGAUGCUGCAUGGCUGUCGUCAGUUCGUGGCGUGAGCUGUACCCUUAAGUGGGACAACGAACGCAACCUGCACCGUAUGUUAAAUAAUUCAUAUGGAACUGCCCCGAUUAUAUCGGGGAGGAAGGCGCAGAUGAUGUCAAGUCCGCACGGCUCUUACACCCUGGGCUACACACAUCCUACAAUGGCGAAUAACAACGAGCUGCAAGAUGGUAACAUCAAGCUAAUCUCUAAAAUUUCGCCCCAGUUCAGAUCGGGGGCUGCAACUUGCCCCCGUGAAGUCGGAAUUGCUAGUAAUCGCGAAUCAGCAGGUCGCGGUGAAUACGUUCUCGCCUCUUGCACACACCGCCCGU
rnacentral:rRNA from 1 species